CCCCUGAGAGAAAAAAUAUUGUCAAAAAUAUUUAUUUAAGCUAAAAAAUAGAAUGCUAAAAAAGUGUCAUAGAACAGAAAAGAGCCACUUUGAAUCCCCCUAGCAGGGAAGAAAAAGUCCUUUUCCGAUUAGGUGAUGUGAACAAUAAUAAUAUUAUUCUAUACAGUGUGGCUGUCGGCGUCUGCGCAGCCGUUUAACGAUAGAUAUAAAUACGUUAAUAGACACUGCAUAUAAGAAUAUUAUUUCGUCUCGGAGGACUCUAAAUUUACUGUGAGUACAAAGUUUUUUUGACAAUCCACCUCUAUUUCAAAUUCUCUUUGCUCCAAGUCUGUAGAUAAAAACCAACCUUCUCAGUCAACGUCGCAAGGUCUUUCUGUGCUUUAGGAUAUACCUCUUUUCUAAUCUCUGUUUUCUUUUCGUCUGUCAAAUUAACUUUUGACAAAUCAAAUUAGUGGUUUACAAUUUUAUACCAAAUAUGCGAUAGUUUAUCAUAAAUUAUUUGUUAUUUGACUCUUGUGUUUCGCAAACGUGAAAAUCUUAUGGUGAUAUGUGUACUUGUUAAUAUUUUUAAUGUAUAAUAUUUAAAAGAGUGACUACACACGUAAGAAUUUGAAAUAAAGUCUCAAAAUUUGAAAUAACAAUUAUAUGAAAUGAAGAAGCGUUACGUAUAAUAUGGAAAAAGGUGGUACCAAACAGAAUAUACAGAAUACGAUACCUAACAUACCGCCGGGUCCAGCUGGUACCGCACAGAAUACGAUACCUUACAACCCCAGCGUACCGCCGGGUCAACCUGGUGCCGAAGAGGAUCCUGAACAGAAGUAUAUUUGUCCUCCAGGGACUUGCAUGAACAGGAACUACAAUAGAAAUAAAUAUAUAUUAGCGGGUGUCUUUCUCGGAAUACUCGUAUUUACAUUGAUUAUUUACGCUAUCGUGUGCUCGACCAAAAGUAAGAAGUGAGAAGUGGCAAGAGCAAAAAGCCGUUAUACAUCAUCGCGGGCAUAGCGCUCGGCUUGCUCGUUAUUGGUUUCAUUAUCUACGCUGCUUUGUGUAAAUAGGUGCUCGCAUGAACAAAAAAUACAUCCGAAAAAUAUACAUCAUCGCUGGCUUAUCGUUCGGCGUGCUCGUUAUUGGUUUCAUUAUCUACGCUGCCUUGUGUAAUUAAUUAGGAACUCGCAUGAACAAAAAAUACAUAUACAUCAUCGCUGGCGUAUCGCUGGGCGUGCUCGUGAUCGGUUUCAUUAUCUACGCUGCCUUGUGUAUAUAGGAGUAAAAUGGAGCGUAAAGCGUUUUCCGAGUCCCGUCUGAACCAACGCGGCCGUGAGACCGUUUACGGCGUUAAAAACGUCAACAAAUUUAAAAUCUUCAUUUUCACUUUUGCGACUGUGAGCGUGUUAAUGUUUAUUGCUGUGAUCGCCUUCGUCAUGGUGAGGACAUCGAAGUUACCGAGCGAAUACAAGGGGAGGAAGCCGACCACCACUACAACCACUGAAAGUGCCGCUGUCGGUCCGAUGUUCUUUUAAAGUAUUUGUGAUCGAUCAUACCAAAAAUGAAAGCGUUUUUCCACUUCUAAAUAUUUUCCAUUCUACAUGAUUUUUAGUAUGUUAUUGACACAAUGAAGGUUUUUUUUUAUUAUUUAAAAAUUAUUACAUUUUUAAUUACUCUAAAAUAAAACAUUAAAAUGGACUAUAAACUAAAUAGAAAUAAAACUAAACAAACAGAAAGACACAAAUACAAAAACUAAUCAAACAACUCGUCCCGAGCCCUCCCAGACGCAAAGGUGCCUAUCACGCUCGCCGUGUUACCACGCUGAAUCGCGAUAGUCAGCCUCUGCAUCAGGAAUGACCCGGAACGAGGGUCAUGACCCCUCUCCCUCAACCACCGCCCCAAUUUGCCCAAGAAAAUUUUGGCCUCUACUAGGUUUAUAGGUUAUAGAUGUCCCUUUUUUUACAAAAUGCAUGCUUAUAUACACGGUGUCACACGAGGAAACCGAAGGAUUUUAAACACGCACUUCUGAGGCCAAAUAAAGAAAAAAAUAUUAUAUGAGUUUAAGUAAUAACGACAAAAAAAAAAUUUUUUUGGUUUUUUUUUUCAAAUUUUGAAUGUAUUUGUACAUAAAAAGUUAAUGGUAGAACUUUCCCUGAAAAUUAAUUUUUACGAAUUUGUUUAAACCUAGUUUAUGCAAAGGGUAUUUGUCACUUUUUGACAUUUAUCAUUUUUAUCAAUAAUAAUAUUUAGACUACUCCCCAUAAUGCCAUCAAUACCAUCGUAUUUCACUGAGUAAAAAGACGUUAUUUUUUAAUUGCUAUUAACUCUGAAACUAAGUGAAAUUCAGAAAAGUUUAUAUGACAUUUUAGUCUCUAAAUGUGAUCAGGAACACAAUGUUAAAAUCUUUCGGUUUCCUCAUGUUACACCGUGUAUACAAGUAUGGGUGUAUACUCUUGUCAGAGUAGUUUAUGGUAAUUAAUGGCAAGUCUUAAUAUACGAGGUC